ensembl:lncRNA
CAACCUCCCAGUCUAAUGACAUCUGAAGUCUGCGAUUCCGAACAGAGCACGCCUUGACUCGGAGUCUCCAUCCCUAAAGGAUGGAGAGAGAGCAGGAUGUGUCCCAUGGACCCUCCUAAACCUCGAUAAACCUUGCUCCCAAAUAAAGUUCACGGUAUUAUUUAAUCACUGAACGGGAAUAAAACACAUCCACAUCGUCUCGUUUUAAUUCUGAACCACCGGGUGUGUUUUUUCCCGGUGCCUUGGAUGUGGGUGUUGAGCGCCUUUCAUUACGCUGGUGAUGUAGCGGAAACGGGCGGGCGGAUGUGAUGAAGUCUUCUCGCUAGAUAAAUAAGAUAUGAACGCUUCUUUCAGCACUGGCAGCAUCAACGCUAUAUUUCUUCGUAGUGGCUUAAAACUCCCAAGCCGAUAAACACGGGAUGAUUUCGAGAAAAUAAAGUAAUACGCCCUGAAUACGCUCAAAGCGAGAUUUACGCCUUGUCCUAGAAUCUGGAGCCGACAGCGAGGGGUGGCUGCGCAGCGACCCCGUUUAGGAGCUCUGAAUCCCGGUCUGGGAACGGAGGAAGCGUCGGUGGGGCCACCAGCGAUACAGGACUUCUGGCAGCGGGUUAUGGCUGCGGACAGCCCGCUUAGGUCGAAAUGAGAGGUGUUGGAAACAUGGAGGGUCGGUUCCUGUCUAUGUAGACGAAAACAUAGGGGGGGAGAGAGAGGUAAUAAAAAAUGGUCUGGGUG